rnacentral:misc_RNA from 1 species
AACCUUAUGGACCUGCGGGCGUAUACCUGCGGAAGGAUCAUUAAUGGGUAGGCUUUGGCCAUAAUCCCUCACCAUUGUGAACGAAGCUUUAGUAGCAGUUGCUUCGGCGGGUGAUAAUACCAUGCCCCUUUCGGGGUACCCGCCGGAGGCAAGUAAAUUCUUGUUAUUUAUUGUUAUCUCUGAGUAAACUUUAAAUAAGUCAAAACUUUUAGCAACGGAUCUCAGAUCGGAAGAGCACAC